rnacentral:lncRNA from 1 species
CAUACCUGUCAACCUCUGAAAAUGAAAAGUCAGGUCAUGACCUGCAUUGAGAAAAAAAAUCUCAGGUCAUAACGCGUACGACAUUUUGCGGGCUCAAUUGAAGAACAAAAAUAUGUUUACAUAUAAUUUAUAUAGUCAAUAUAGUCAAUAUGUAUAUGAAACAGUUAGAACAUGUAUACAAGUUUAUUUCAGACUAUUGUUAUAUUCCAUAGUAGCAGACUUGGCAUUCUUUAAAAGAACUGCACUUGGUUUCAGUUCAUAGCAAUGCAAAUGUGUAUUCAUUUUACAAGAAAGAAGAGCACACAGUGUAUCCUUAUUAAGAUCAGCCCUAAACUCUGUAGCUAUUUUCUUUACUAAAGAAAAUGCCCUCUCACUGUCUGCAUUGCUGUUUGGCAAAACCAGUAAUGUUUUAGCAAGUUUUGACAAAACAAAAAAUCUUGGCUUGUUAAGAAAAAUGUCAUGCAACUUGGACAUUUCUCCCCAAAAUGUACCAAUGUCAGUUUCAGGGGAAGUGCAAAGUGGAAGUUCAUCUAAUGGGGUCAACUGAUAGUCACUGAACUCAUCUUGUAGCUGUGUUGUCUCUUCUUACCCUCUUCAUAUCGUUACGUAGCUCAGGUAAACAGUCCUACAUUUUGACUUUUGGUUACAUUGAAAAAGACCGAUAAAACCGAAGGUCGUAUUACUUCUAAAUACCGGAAACAAUUCCGGUCAGAAAUCCGGGUGAAACGGGUAAUGUUAGAAAUUCCCGGGACCUGCCGGGUAAAGAAAAACUCCCGGGUGAGAGGUGAAAAUAACGGGUGUCACCCGCAAAAAACGGGUGAGUUGACAGGUAUGACAUGGCUGCCAGACAGGAUAAGAACUAUCAAACCUGUUAAUGUGCAAAUAACAGUAUCAAUGGGUCAUCCUGGAAUUAUGUCUUCCACCAGAAAAUAUCGUCAAUUUCCCACACCUUUAUGACGUCACUUACCAGAUAGAAUGUGCACCUGUAUCCCUGUUCUAUUAAAUUAUCAAGAACUUUCAGAAUCGUCUUUC